rnacentral:rRNA from 1 species
GAUGAACGCUAGCGGCAGGCCUAAUACAUGCAAGUCGAACGGGGGUAGCAAUACUCCAGUGGCGCACGGGUGCGUAACGCGUAGGCAAUCUGCCUACUCCUGGGGGAUAGCCCGCCGAAAGGUGGAUUAAUACCGCAUAAGACUAUAGGAUGGCAUCAUCCAGUAGUUAAAGAAUUUCGGGAGUAGAUGAGCCUGCGUGCCAUUAGCUAGUUGGUGGGGUAACGGCCCACCAAGGCGACGAUGGCUAGGGGAGCUGAGAGGCCGAUCCCCCACACUGGCACUGAGAUACGGGCCAGACUCCUACGGGAGGCAGCAGUAGGGAAUAUUGGGCAAUGGGCGCGAGCCUGACCCAGCCAUGCCGCGUGACGGAUGAAGGCCUUCUGGGUUGUAAACGUCUUUUGACCGGGAAGAAAAAGCCCUUGCGAGGGAAAUCGACGGUACCGGUUGAAUAAACACCGGCUAACUCCGUGCCAGCAGCCGCGGUAA